rnacentral:rRNA from 1 species
ACACGUAGGGGCCUGACGUUGUUCGGAAUCAUUGGGCGUAAAGGGCGCGCAGGCGGCCGUCCAAGUCCGGUGUUAAAUGGUCGGGCUCAACCCGAUCAUGCGCUGGAAAAUGGGCGGCUUGAGCCCCGUAGGGGAUGCCGGAAUUCCAGGCGUAGGGGUGAAAUCUGUAGAGAUCUGGAAGAACACCGAUGGCGAAGGCAUGCAUCUGGCCGGAGACUGACGCUGAGGCGCGAAGGCGCGGGGAGCGAACAGGUUUAGAUACCCUGGUAGUCCGCGCAGUAAACGAUGCGCACCAGGUGUCGGGCGGCAGCGCCCGGUACCGGAGCUAACGCGAUGAGUGCGCCGCCUGGGGAGUAUGCCCGCAAGGGUGAAACUCAAAUGAAUUGGCGGGG